rnacentral:rRNA from 1 species
GACGAACCGUACGAACGUUAUUCGGAAUCACUGGGCUUAAAGGGUGCGUAGGCUGCGCAGCAAGUUGGGUGUGAAAUCCCUCGGCUUAACCGAGGAACUGCGCCCAAAACUGCUGUGCUCGAGGGAGACAGAGGUGAGCGGAACUUAGGGUGGAGCGGUGAAAUGCGUUGAUAUCCUAAGGAACGACCGGUGGCGAAGCGGCUACACGUGGGUCUCGUUCUGACGCUGAGCACGAAAGCUAGGGAGCGAACGGGAGU